GAGGGUAGAGCUCAGCGGUACAGCGCGUGCCUGGCAUGCCCGAGGUCCUGGGUUCAGUCCCAAGUACCUCCA
rnacentral:tRNA from 1 species